ACGUAAACAACCUGCCUUCAGGAUGGGGACAACAGACGGAAACGACUGCUAAUACCGAAUAAGUUCCAAGAGCCGCAUGGCCCAUGGAAGAAAAGGUGGCCUCUACCUGUAAGCUAUCGCCUGAAGAGGGGUUUGCGUCUGAUUAGCUGGUUGGAGGGGUAACGGCCCACCAAGGCGACGAUCAGUAGCCGGUCUGAGAGGAUGAACGGCCACACUGGAACUGAGACACGGUCCAGACUCCUACGGGAGGCAGCAGUGGGGAAUCUUCCGCAAUGGGCGAAAGCCUGACGGAGCAACGCCGCGUGAGUGAUGACGGCCUUCGGGUUGUAAAACUCUGUGAUCCGGGACGAAAAGGCAGAGUGCGAAGAACAAACUGCAUUGACGGUACCGGAAAAGCAAGCCACGGCUAACUACGUGCCAGCAGCCGCGGUAAUACGUAGGUGGCAAGCGUUGUCCGGAAUUAUUGGGCGUAAAGCGCGCGCAGGCGGCUUCCCAAGUCCCUCUUAAAAGUGCGGGGCUUAACCCCGUGAUGGGAAGGAAACUGGGAAGCUGGAGUAUCGGAGAGGAAAGUGGAAUUCCUAGUGUAGCGGUGAAAUGCGUAGAGAUUAGGAAGAACACCGGUGGCG
rnacentral:rRNA from 1 species